UAGCUCAUACUGUUUUUGCACUCUCUUCAAGUUUCCCCACAUCUAUUGGGACAAUAUUGCUUAGAGUAGAAAAAUCGUGUGGCCUGUUUUUCUUGUUGGUUUUGAUACAAAAUUUCUUUCAGCCUUGAAAAUUUAGCAUAUUGAGUGCAUGUGGUGUGGCAUACAUAAGUGCAUUGGCAUCUAUUGUUAAAUGGUGAAUGCAUUGGCUUGGAUUAGCUCUUCCUUGCAGAGCUGAUGACCUAAAGAAACCCUGCCUUUUGUUUAAUAAAUGCCAUUUCCUGUAUGAGUAGAAACUGCAAACAAUCUCUACUGCCACAGAUCCAUCCUGAUUUUUUUUUUUAAUUUUUAUUUUGUUGCAAAGAAACAUUAGUGGGCCUGGAUUUCUUAGUUGGUGGGUUGGAUGAUAGUUAGCAAACAAGGAAACUGCAAUUCAUUAGCCAAACGAGCCCUACAAAAUGUUGGUCAGGGUUCCUCAAAACACUACACUGCGUUGGCUGGCAGAGUUAUGGUCAUUGACCAGUUUGCAGUGGUCCAUGCAUUGGACUUCUGUUGCAAGACUCAGAUUCUUCCCAUGGAUAUAUAUAUAUUUUAAAUCUUGGGGAGGGAUAAGCCUGAAGAAUCCACUGUUUUCUUUUUUCAGCUUGUUUUGUUUACUGAAAUGGUCCUCUGCAUUUUUUAAAGCAGGUGAAGGAUUGGGUGUUAUUGAGAAAAAAAAGGUGAUUCUGCAACGUACUGGAACUAGAUCUGUUUGGUUCCCCAUUUGCAGCAAAUGGCAUCAGCUAGUGUGGUGCCUGCGACUGGAUUGAGAAACACAAGUGGAAAUGCUAUCAGCAUGGAUAGGUUGCCUUAAGAAAUGAAUGAUAUGAAGAUAAGGGAUGACAAGGAAAUGGAAACUGCUGUAGUCGAUGGAAAUGGCACAGAGACGGGUCAUAUAAUCGUGACAACUAUUGGGGGUAGAAAUGGCCAACCAAAGCAGAAACAGCAGAUGAUGAGAGUAUUAGCGUGUUGGAGGUACCUAGCAGGUGCAUGAAGGCAAUAUGACGUUAGAAGAUUUCCUCACCCCAACUGAGAUGAAAGAUGGACUCACAAACCUUGCUAGAGUUGAAGAGCUGGUUGCUGUUAUGCAGAAGCAGAGAGAAAAUAUUACGAAGAGUGUAGGUAAUGCAUCCAGACAAUGGUCAAUUGUAGCAAGUACCUUAUCAGCAACAGAGAAGAAUAGUUGCCUUAAUCAUUUUCUUCAGUUAGACGGGCAUACGUUUCUCAACCAAUGGCUCCAGGAAGCUCAAAAGUGUAGUGGUGGCACAAGUGACAGUUCUGUGGAAGAAUCAAUCAGUGCAGUGCUAGGAGCACUUGAGAAGCUGCCUCUAGAUGAGAGCUUAACUGCUUCAGGAAUUGUGGAAACUGUCAAACAUCUCCUUCGCAACAGGAGCUUGAAAGUCCAGGAGAGGGCAAAAACUUUGUUUCAUGGAUGGAUUUGUUUUUAUUUAUUUAUUUAUAUUCAAGACCAUUUUCAAUUUAUUGUAAUAAAUAUUAUAUAUAUUU